rnacentral:rRNA from 1 species
ACGCAAUAGAUACCCGGGUAGUCCACGCCGUAAACGAUGAGUGCUAAGUGUUAGAGGGUUUCCGCCCUUUAGUGCUGCAGCUAAACGCAUUAAGCACUCCGCCUGGGGAGUACGGUCGCAAGACUGAAACUCAAAGGAAUUGACGGGGGCCCGCACAAGCGGUGGAGCAUGUGGUUUAAUUCGAAGCAACGCGAAGAACCUUACCAGGUCUUGACAUCCUCUGACAACUCUAGAGAUAGAGCGUUCCCCUUCGGGGGACAGAGUGACAGGUGGUGCAUGGUUGUCGUCAGCUCGUGUCGUGAGAUGUUGGGUUAAGUCCCGCAACGAGCGCAACCCUUGAUCUUAGUUGCCAGCAUUUAGUUGGGCACUCUAAGGUGACUGCCGGUGACAAACCGGAGGAAGGUGGGGAUGACGUCAAAUCAUCAUGCCCCUUAUGACCUGGGCUACACACGUGCUACAAUGGAUGGUACAAAGGGCUGCAAGACCGCGAGGUCAAGCCAAUCCCAUAAAACCAUUCUCAGUUCGGAUUGUA